rnacentral:ribozyme from 13 species
UCUUAUUUAUUCUUUUUUUCUUCUUUUUUUUCUUGUUCUUGUUCUUGUUCUUUUUUUUUCUCCACAUACUUCUGUGCUCAGAGUUAGUCAGUAUGAUCAUAUAUUGAAUUUAAUAAUAGGAUAUAAAAUAAA